rnacentral:rRNA from 1 species
GAAGGACGUGCUAAUCUGCGAUAAGCGUCGGUAAGGUGAUAUGAACCGUUAUAACCGGCGAUUUCCGAAUGGGGAAACCCAGUGUGAUUCGUCACACUAUCAUUAACUGAAUCCAUAGGUUAAUGAGGCGAACCGGGGGAACUGAAACAUCUAAGUACCCCGAGGAAAAGAAAUCAACCGAGAUUCCCCCAGUAGCGGCGAGCGAACGGGGAGCAGCCCAGAGCCUGAAUCAGUGUGUGUGUUAGUGGAAGCGUCUGGAAAGGCGCGCGAUACAGGGUGACAGCCCCGUACACAAAAAUGCACAUGCUGUGAGCUCGAUGAGUAGGGCGGGACACGUGGUAUCCUGUCUGAAUAUGGGGGGACCAUCCUCCAAGGCUAAAUACUCCUGACUGACCGAUAGUGAACCAGUACCGUGAGGGAAAGGCGAAAAGAACCCCGGCGAGGGGAGUGAAAAAGAACCUGAAACCGUGUACGUACAAGCAGUGGGAGCCUCUUUAUGGGGUGACUGCGUACCUUUUGUAUAAUGGGUCAGCGACUUAUAUUCUGUAGCAAGGUUAACCGAAUAGGGGAGCCGAAGGGAAACCGAGUCUUAACUGGGCGUUAAGUUGCAGGGUAUAGACCCGAAACCCGGUGAUCUAGCCAUGGGCAGGUUGAAGGUUGGGUAACACUAACUGGAGGACCGAACCGACUAAUGUUGAAAAAUUAGCGGAUGACUUGUGGCUGGGGGUGAAAGGCCAAUCAAACCGGGAGAUAGCUGGUUCUCCCCGAAAGCU